rnacentral:rRNA from 1 species
GCCUACGGGGCGCAGCAGUGGGGAAUAUUGCACAAUGGGGGAAACCCUGAUGCAGCGACGCCGCGUGAGUGAUGAAGUAUUUCGGUAUGUAAAGCUCUAUCAGCAGGGAAGAUAAUGACGGUACCUGACUAAGAAGCUCCGGCUAAAUACGUGCCAGCAGCCGCGGUAAUACGUAUGGAGCAAGCGUUAUCCGGAUUUACUGGGUGUAAAGGGAGCGUAGACGGCAGCGCAAGUCUGGAGUGAAAUCCCAUGGCUUAACCAUGGAACUGCUUUGGAAACUGUGCAGCUAGAGUGCAGGAGAGGUA